CCCUAGCCCCGAUAAAAGUGGAAAUCCUUUUUAUUUUUUCUUUAAAAAUAAAAAGAUUGUAACGGAUAGCGGGAUUAGCU
rnacentral:sRNA from 1 species